CAGGGUCCGGUCAUGGCAAUACCCGGACCCGGCCCGGGGUUUUGCCAUCUCUAGAAUCGAUGGACAUUAUAUGUUGCCCCUUGAUAUUUACAAUGCGUAUUCGACAUCUUCUUAUACUUAGCCACACGAUCUGUAAUGUCUUUUCUCAAACUCUCAAUGGUCAUCUUGAAAGAAGAGCAUCCCCAUGGAUAUUCAUUAAACUCAUUAAAAUUAUCCACAAGGAGUACAUUAGUUUCAUUUAUAUAAUUUUUAUUCUCCUUUCCAAGUAAUAUCGACUUUACAAAGUAUGACAUGGCAAGUCUAUUAUGUCAUCAUUUGAAUUAGCAUUCACAAACUUUUCACGAAUUUAUUUUGUUAUGAUUGCACAAUUUCCAUCUAAGAACUCAUCAACUAUUCUCUCACCAUCGUUACUAUUUUCAGUAUUGGGCUCAUAUAAUGGAUUGCAAUUCAAUCAUGUUACCAAGGCAAACUCCUCCAUUAAGAGUCAAAUAUUUUUCUGUCCAAUCCUAAACAACAUUGUCUUCUCACAUAAUUUUACUUCUCUCAAUAGUAUGUUGUAGAGUAACUAAGAAGAAAACUUCAACUCUUUGGCAUUAAAAAAAUGACCGAAAUAAGAACGUCUGAAUAUAUUGGCCUGCUCCUCACAUAGUUGUUUUUAAUGUCUUCAACUGCAUCUAGUGAUGAUCGGUUAGAAAUCUUUGCUUUAAAAUAAUCAGAUUCCUUGAUUUUCGAUUCCAUCUACAUAAACACAAAAAUGUUUGAAUUAUAAUAUAAAUACACCUAAAAAGUUGCAUAAUAAUAUAUUCUAAACCAAUUAGAAAAAUUACACAACACACCAGUUCAAUAUAGUUUUCAUUACUCGACUAUAGCCAAGUAUAUACAAAGCAAAUGAUUCAACUUAUGUACAAUGAUUUCAAGAAAAAAUUUGUAUAAUCUCUUCUUGGCUGCACAAUACAAAGAAAGAAAAUGCAAUUUUUAAUCUAUAAUUAAAUAGAAAUGUGAAAUCAAACAUGUAAUAAAGUUCUAUAUUAUUUGGACAAAGUUGAAGUUUCGUGUCCUUUGUCUUAGUAAGAAUUACAUAUUACAAAUUAUAGGUUCUUUUUUUUUUUUCUUUCAGUUUGGAGCAACUAGAGGUGGCCAACGGGCCGUGCCGGCCCAAGCCCAUCAAAGGUAGCCCACGCGUGCUUGUGCUCGUACCAUGUCGUGCCCACUAUGCGUUUCGUGUCGUGUCAUGCCUAAUUUCUUUUACUUAGGCCCGACUCGGCACACGUGUUGUGCCCAUUUGUGCCAUGCCCACACGUGUCGUGCCAUGCCUAGGAAAAAAACCCGACUAAACUUUUUUAUUAUUAUUUUUUUAAAAGCGCAUGCCAAGUUGUUAUCUUAUUUUUUUCAAGCCUUUGUACUU
rnacentral:lncRNA from 1 species